AGUGAACGCUGGCGGCAGGCCUAACACAUGCCAGUCGAGCGGCAGCGGGUCCUUCGGGAUGCCGGCGAGCGGCGGACGGGUGAGGAAUGCAUCGGAAUCUGCCCUGUCGUGGGGGAUAACCUAGGGAAACUUAGGCUAAUACCGCAUACGACCCACGGGUGAAAGCGGGGGAUCGCAAGACCUCGCGCGAUAGGAUGAGCCGAUGUCCGAUUAGCUAGUUGGCGGGGUAAAGGCCCACCAAGGCGGCGAUCGGUAGCUGGUCUGAGAGGAUGAUCAGCCACACUGGGACUGAGACACGGCCCAGACUCCUACGGGAGGCAGCAGUGGGGAAUAUUGGACAAUGGGCGCAAGCCUGAUCCAGCCAUGCCGCGUGGGUGAAGAAGGCCUUCGGGUUGUAAAGCCCUUUUGUCCGGGAAGAAAUCGUCUGGGCUAAUACCCCGGGCGGAUGACGGUACCGGAAGAAUAAGCACCGGCUAACUUCGUG
rnacentral:rRNA from 1 species